GUCUGCGAGGAUCAGUGGUGAUCAUUCCGUCCUAAUGAACUUUCCUAAUUCGAAGCAGCAGCGGGAAGGCGGGGUUCGAAUCCCCGCGCAGGCA